rnacentral:rRNA from 1 species
AGCGUAGGCCGGAGAUUAAGCGUGUUGUGAAAUGUAGAUGCUCAACAUCUGAACUGCAGCGCGAACUGGUUUCCUUGAGUACGCACAAAGUGGGCGGAAUUCGUGGUGUAGCGGUGAAAUGCUUAGAUAUCACGAAGAACUCCGAUUGCGAAGGCAGCUCACUGGAGCGCAACUGAGCUGAGCUCGAAAGUGCGGGUAUCGAACA